rnacentral:rRNA from 1 species
GGGGAAUCUUGCACAAUGGGGGCAACCCUGAUGCAGCGAUGCCGCGUGAGUGAAGAAGGCCUUCGGGUUGUAAAGCUCUUUCGAUUGGGAAGAAGGGUUCUUAAGUGAACAAUUUAAGAAUUUGACGGUGCCUAGAGAAGAAGCACCGGCUAACUCCGUGCCAGCAGCCGCGGUAAUACGGAGGGUGCAAGCGUUGUUCGGAAUUACUGGGCGUAAAGAGCACGUAGGCGGGUUCGUAAGUCGAUUGUGAAAGCCCCGGGCUCAAUCCGGGAAUUGCAGUCGAAACUACGAGUCUUGAAUACCUGAGAGGGUGACGGAAUUCCUGGUGUAGAAGUGAAAUUCGUAGAUAUCAGGAGGAACACCGGAGGCGAAGGCGGUUGCCUGGCAGUGUAUUGACGCUGAGGUGCGAAAGCGUGGGGAGCAAAC